rnacentral:lncRNA from 1 species
UGGUACAAUAAGCUAGGCUGUUAGACUCUACCUUACUUCCAAUUGGGUCUCAAUCCACUAUCUCUGUAGAAAAAUAUCAAUUUGAUAAUUUCUUCCUCAGAUUUCAUGACUGCUGGAUGAGAAGGCAAAACUAUAUUCAGCAUCACAUGGUACUUUGAAAAGAAUAGAAGCAGCCACAAUAGCUCUACCCUAGAAAGCAAAGUUACAUAAGAGUGG